rnacentral:lncRNA from 7 species
AGGGACGACGCCGGGAGAAGACGACCUCGCGCGGGGAUAAAGGCUUCAUCGAAGGAUGGUAACUACUUACUACUAGACUAGAAGCUCUUUUUUUUUUGGCGCCAAAAAACCUGAUCGAUGGAUGAGCUGACCUGUGGUAUUUAAUUUAUUCGGUUCUUAAUUAAUGAUCUGUUUCAGCAUCGCGGCGCUCUGCUGCUGCUGGAUCUGCGAGAUGUGCUGCGACUAGGCACGCAGCUAGCGGUCAGCUAGCUCUCCGUCUCCGGCGGCUAUACAUACGAAAUACGAUGAGAGAGCUAGCCUGCCACAGCUUCUGCUUCUGCUUCUGCAAGAGAGAUCUGCUUAAAUUAUUCUAUCGUCCAGAGCUGCAGCAACACCUGAUAUGUUUGUUUGGGGUGUUAUUAGUAGGGAGAGCUAGCUCAGCUUUAUUAUUGUUAAUAAUAAUUCUGUGCUGUACGUAGCUAUAGCAAGCAUACGUAUGUAUACACGUAUAUGUAUGUGUUUUACCGUGACUUGAAUGUUUGGAAAUGGUGAUUUCAUUGCCUU